AUUGAACGCUGGCGGCAUGCUUUACACAUGCAAGUCGAACGGUAACAGGUUAAGCUGACGAGUGGCGAACGGGUGAGUAAUGCAUCGGAACGUGCCCGGUCGUGGGGGAUAACGCAGCGAAAGCUGCGCUAAUACCGCAUACGAUCUGAGGAUGAAAGCGGGGGACCGUAAGGCCUCGCGCGAUCGGAGCGGCCGAUGUCAGAUUAGGUAGUUGGUGGGGUAAAGGCUCACCAAGCCAACGAUCUGUAGCUGGUCUGAGAGGACGACCAGCCACACUGGGGCUGAGACACGGCCCAGACUCCUACGGGAGGCAGCAGUGGGGAAUUUUGGACAAUGGGCGAAAGCCUGAUCCAGCAAUGCCGCGUGCAGGAAGAAGGCCUUCGGGUUGUAAACUGCUUUUGUACGGAGCGAAAAGGUCUCCUCUAAUACAGGGGGCUCAUGACGGUACUGUAAGAAUAAGCACCGGCUAACUACGUGCCAGCCGCCGCCGUAA
rnacentral:rRNA from 1 species